rnacentral:rRNA from 1 species
GACGAACGCUGGCGGCGUGCCUAAUACAUGCAAGUCGAACGCAGUGGGGACGGGGGAGUAACACGUGGGUAACCUCCCAUCAGAGGGGAUAAAACAUGGAAACAGGUGCUAAACCGAUAUUGCUGUAUGGACCCGGGGUGCAUUAGCUAGUUGGUGAGGUCAAGGCUGACCAAGGCCACGAUGCAUAGCGUGGCUGAGAGGGUGAUGGGCCACACUGGUACUGAGACACGGCCCAGACUCCUACGGGAGGCAGCAGUAGGGAAUCUUCGGCAAUUGACGAAAGUCUGACCGAGCAACGCCGCGUGAGUGAAGAAGGUUUUCGGAUCGUAAAACUCUGUUGUUAGAGAAGCGGUAUCUAACCAGAAAGCCACGGCUAACUACGUGCCAGCAGCCGCGGUAAUAC